GUAGUGUCUGGUCACCUUCCCUUAGCUUUCACUCAAUCAAGGCUAGCACACUAUCACUUGAACCACAGCUCCACCUCUGGCUUUUUACUGGUUAUUUGGAGAUGAGUUUCAGGCUUUCCUGUACGGGAUUCUCAGAUCUCAGCCUCCUCCUGAUUAAGUAGCUAGAAUUACAGACAUGAGCCACUGAUGCCUGGCAGUAUUUUUAGCAGGAGAAACAGAGGGAUUAGACAAUGAACACAGACCAUCUAGUAAACAUUAAGCUUCUAAUAAACAUCAUCUAGUGAGCAUCUUAAUUGCAUUUAAUACAUCAUAACUUGAGUACAUUUCUGACUCACUUGGAAUGGUAUUUCCUGGAAGAUUUUAGACCGCCCUACAUUCUUCACAUUGUAAAGUGUGUUUUGAAAUAAUAGGAAUAAUAACAAAAGCAUCUUCAAGCUUGAAAUUUUAGACUUUUUUCCUAAACAAGGGUAUUGGUAUGUAGCUCAGGCUGGCUAGAACUUCUGAUCCUCCAGCCUCAGCUUCCUGAGCGCUGGCUUUCACAUAUGUCCAC